rnacentral:lncRNA from 1 species
GUAGCACUACAAACCAAGCGAUGAAUUUGAUCGUUGAGGCUGCUUCACUGCCUAUGCUAUGGAGUGUGGACGACGUCGGUGUAGGAGGUAUCAGGAGCUCUUGCAUGACAUAUCUGAUAGGUCGCGGUACCUUUGUCGAAACAAACCUGGUUCGCUAGUGUAGUUGCCGUCAAGGCAGGAGCCGAUAAAGUUGCUCUAUCAGAGGAAGUAUUGCUUGCGUGCGAGUUU